AAUAUUCGACAAUGGGGGCAACCCUGAUCCAGCCAUGCCGCGUGUGUGAAGAAGGUACUCGGACUGUCCCGCCCUUUAAGUUGGGAGGAAGGGCUUUAGGCUAAUACCCUGAAGUCUUGACGAUACCAACAGAAUAAGCACCGGCUAACUCGGUGCCAGCAGCCGCGGUAAUAACGAGGGUGCAAGCGUUAAACGGAAUUACUGGGCGUAAAGCGCGCGUAGGUGGUUCAGUAAGAUGGGUGUGAAAUCCCCGGGCUUAACCUGGGAACUGCUUUCAUAACUGCUGAGCUAGAGUACGGUAGAGGGUAGUGGAAUUUCCUGUGUAGCGGUGAAAUGCGUAGAUAUAGGAAGGAACACCAGUGGCGAAGGCGACUACCUGGACUGAUACUGACACUGAGGUGCGAAAGCGUGGGGAGCAAACA
rnacentral:rRNA from 1 species